UUCCUCCACAGUGGAAUUUGAGCCUGUGGCUGAUGAACAAACUACAUCUUGUGAGAAUCAGAUGCAGCCAAAGCUGGUAUGCCCUUUGUGCCGAGGGAAGGUAAAAAAGUGGGUUGUUGAUGAGCAUGCUCGUCAGUUCAUGAAUGCAAAAUCAAGAAGUUGUUCUUGUGAGACAUGUAACUUCAGUGGAACCUAUACAGAUCUUAGGAAGCACGCAAGGAAGGAGCAUCCUCUUGUUCUCCAUCAGAAGUCGACCCAGAACGACAGCAUAAUUGGAGACGACUUGUGCGACAAAGGGACCUGAGAGAUCUUCUUAGCACACUACAAUCAUCAUUUGGAGAGGAUAGGGUUGAUGAUGAUAGUAUUUUGCCCAUUGAUGAUGGGGGCUGGCUCACAGUUUUUCUCCUUAUUCGAGUUUUUAGACCUGAAUCCGGUAGAAGGAGCAGCAGUUGGUCUAAUGUAUCUAGAGCUGGAGAGCAACCAAGUUAUAGGAGGAGAGAGUUAUGAUUGGGAAAUAGGAUCAUCUUCCAGAGACGAAGAUAAUAACUCUUCAGACGUUGGAUCAGGAUCGUCGAGGCAUCAAGAUCGCACACAGCGACAGGCAAUUUCCCACAUGGAAAGAAAGAUGGAGGCUGUUCCUUGCUGCCUUUAUCAUGCGUUCCGUUGAUUCUGGAUCAAUUCUGGAAAUGGUAAAUUCAACCUGGACCAUCCAUCUUCUAUGUCAGCUCCUUGGAUAUCCAGCCUCAAAGAAACAAACACAAAAGGAGAUUCUUGUUUCGAUGAUGGAUAUAAUGGAAUAACUGAACAAAGAAUAUUUGGCGGUGUAUCUUCCUACACACUGGUUCAACAAUGUAUACUUGAAUCAUGAAAGAUCACCCAAAAUGUUAGAAGGGUCGGGAUGACUUCUAACUGGUGAGAUUUUAUCGGUUGGUUAAUUAAGCAAUAAUCUAAGUAAGUUGUAGUUCAGUGGAUGUUCAAACUUCUAACUUAUUAGUUAAAAUCAUAUAUUAAAAAAAAAAAAACUAUGCUUUACUAAUGCAUUUGAAGGAUUGUUUAAAGUUCAUUCCUGCCCACCAAUCAAGGAGUGUCACAUGAUUAUCUACAUAUUC